rnacentral:rRNA from 1 species
GACGUGGGGGGCCAGCGUUGCUCGGAAUUACUGGGCGUAAAGGGUUCGUAGGCGGUGUGGCAAGUCGGAAGUGAAAUCUCCAGGCUUAACUUGGAGGCUGCUCCCGAAACUGCCAUGCUAGAGUGCGGGAGAGGCGAGUGGAAUUGCAGGUGUAGCGGUGAAAUGCGUAGAUAUCUGCAGGAACACCCGUGGCGAAGGCGGCUCGCUGGACCGCAACUGACGCUGAGGAACGAAAGCUAGGGGAGCAAACAGG